rnacentral:rRNA from 1 species
CAGUCGCCGCGGUAAAACAGAGGGUGCAAGCGUUAAUCGGAAUUACUGGGCGUAAAGCGCGCGUAGGUGGUUUGUUAAGUUGGAUGUGAAAUCCCCGGGCUCAACCUGGGAACUGCAUCCAAAACUGGCAAGCUAGAGUAUGGUAGAGGGUGGUGGAAUUUCCUGUGUAGCGGUGAAAUGCGUAGAUAUAGGAAGGAACACCAGUGGCGAAGGCGACCACCUGGACUGAUACUGACACUGAGGUGCGAAAGCGUGGGGAGCAAACAGGAUUAGAUACCCCGGUAGUCCCUGUCUCUUAUAC